UACGGAGGGUGCAAGCGUUGCUCGGAAUUAUUGGGCGUAAAGGGUAGGUAGGUGGUCUCGUUUGUCUGGGGUGAAAGCCUUGAGCUUAACUCAAGAACUGCCUUUGAUACUGGAGAGCUUGAGUCCGGGAGAGGUGAGUGGAACUGCGAGUGUAGAGGUGAAAUUCGUAGAUAUUCGCAAGAACACCAGUGGCGAAGGCGGCUCACUGGCCCGGUACUGACGCUGAGGUGCGAAAGCGUGGGGAGCAAACAGG
rnacentral:rRNA from 1 species